CCGUGGGAUCGCCGCAGCCGGGCCUUCGACGAUCCGGCGUUCUGGGGCGCCAGCGGGCAUUGUCUCCGCCGCCGGCGUCCCCCGAGGCCGUCCCCGGGCCAUGAUCGACUCGGUGAAGCUGCGCCGCGACAGCGCGGCCGACUUCUUCUCGCACUACGAGUACCUAUGCGCGCUGCAGGACUCAGUGCCGCUGCCCUCGGUGCGCGCCUGCCUGCGGGAGGGCGUGCUGGACUUCAAUGCCGACCGCCUGCGCGUCGUGGACUGGGCGCCGCUCCUGAGCACCCUCAAGAUUAACAAAGAUCUGCCCCUAAUCUCCAUCAAGAGCUUCUUCCAGCCUUGGCUUGGCGAAACAGGUUCUGACAGAAAUAAAGUUUGCAGAAGUCGUGUUCCUGCAAUAAGAAGCAAAGAUGUGACCUUCCAGUUAUGUAAAGCCCUCAAAUGCUGUUUAAGUAUAUCAAACGCUCUGAAGAACCUAGAGUUAAAUGGACUAGUUCUGAGAGAGAGAGAUUUAACUGUUUUGACAAAGGGAUUGAAUAAAUCGGCUACUCUGGUGCACCUGUCUCUUGCAAAUUGUCCGAUUGGAGAUGGAGGUUUAGAGAUUAUUUGUCAAGGUAUAAAGAACUCUAUCACUCUUAAGACAGUAAACUUCACGGGCUGUAAUCUGACGUGGCAGGGAGCAGAUCACAUGGCCAAGAUCUUAAAGUAUCAGACCAUGAGAAGGCACGAAGAAACCUGGGCUGAGAGUCUUCGUUACAGGAGACCUGACCUGGACUGUAUGGCUGGUUUGAGGCGUAUCACUUUGAAUUGCAACACGCUCAUUGGUGACCUUGGCGCAGGUGCUUUUGCAGAAUCUCUCAGUGAUGAUUUAUGGCUUAGAGCACUUGACCUGCAGCAAUGUGGCCUCACCAAUGAAGGAGCAAAGGCUUUACUAAAGGCCCUGGAAACCAAUAGAACUCUGGUCAUUCUGGAUAUAAGAAAAAAUCCGCUUGUUGAUCAUUCUGUGAUGAAAGCAGUUAUUAAAAAAGUUCUCCAGAAUGGAAGGAGCGCCAAGUCAGAGUACCAGUGGAUCACUUCUCCAUCAGUGAAGGAACCAUUCAAAACUGCUAGACAGAAAAAGAGAACUAUAGUUCUGGGAAGUGGUCGAAAAGGGAAAGCUACUAUUAGAAUCGGAUUGGGUACAAAGAAACCUGUAAGUAACGGAAGAAAACACUCCCUUGGUAAAGACAAUUAUGCUCCUGAACCUCUGCCUCCUGGUGUGUCUGGUUUCCUGCCGUGGCGCACAGCAGAACGUGCAAAAAGGAGCAGGGGUUUUCCGUUAAUCAAAACUCGUGAUGUGUAUAAUCAUUUGCAGCAAUCGAAUUUUCCUGUGACCGUGACAGUAGAGAGUCCUUCUUCCUCAGAAAUUGAAGAGGUCGAAGAUUCUUCUGAAAGUGUUCAAGAAGAGCCUGAGAAAACCAGUUUAAAGCAAGAAGCAUUACAGGAAAAACUGGAGGGGUGCCUAAAGCAGUUAAAGGAGGAAAGAGUAAUAAGACUGAAGGCCGAUAAACGAGUCAGUGAGCUGGAACAUGAAAAUGCCCAGUUAAGAAAUAUAAAUUGCUCUUUGUCUGAAGCCCUUCAUGCACAGUCAUUGACAAACAUGAUCCUGGAUGACGAAGGUGUUUUGGGCAGCAUUGAGAAUUCUUUUCAGAAGUUCCAUGCUUUCUUGGAUCUCCUUAAAGAUGCUGGGCUUGGUCAGCUUGCCACAAUGGCUGGUAUAGAUCAGUCAGAUUUUCAUUUGCUGGGGCGUCCCCAGAUGAAUUCUACUAUUAGUAGCCUGCCUAGAGAAGAAAAGAAGGCACUUGAAGAUGAAAAACCAGAAUCAAAGCAGAACUCCAUAGGACAGAUGCAGAACAUCCAAGUUUCUAUUUGUAUGCAGUCAGCUUACAAUGAAGGAACUCUAAUGAAGUUUCAGAAAAUUACAAGUGAUGCCAGAAUUCCUUUGCCUCUCGACUCCUUCCACGUCCCUGUCUCCACGCAGGAGCCCUUAGAAACUUCGAGAGACAACCUGGGAGCCCCAGUCAGUGAGCAGUGGCAGGAGUCUUUCAAAGAAUUCAUUGCUAGAACAUGUUCUCCGUCAGCAGAUGUGAUAUCUGGCACUGGAAGCCAAAGAAAAGACGACGAAUUAUCUAGAAAUAGCAGAUCUUCUUCAGAGAAAUUGACCAAAACAGGUUUAAAGGAAGGAACCAAAGAAAGGAGCUACUGAAGAUGCCCAGUGAGCGGCUCACCUGUACCUCGGGACCCCAGGAGGCGGGAGCGUGAGAUGCGUUCAUGCUCGUAGGACUGGAAGAAAGAGAUGUGAGCAGAAUCUCACCAAGAUGAUUGGAGAAGUAUUAAAACAAAAAUAGAUUAAUAGCAGAGUUGGAAAACCAGAAAAUGAACAAUGUGGGAUUUCUGGAAGAUAAAAAGCAUAUUAUCGAAGGAUCAGUUAGUUAUUAAGAGCCGAACAGCUAAGCUUCCAUUCCGUGCAUCUUUGAAGCACCUCAUUAGGGAGUUGACCACCAGGCUGCAGCUAAGAAAGCAGCUCUCUGAAGUGGCAGUUCUGGCCCAGGACACACUGAGAUUGGAGAGGGUGUCGCCCAAGUGACUAUGAGGAGGAACUGAAGAUAAGCCGCCCACCCACUCUCUCUGGCUGUGGUGACCAGCCACUCUCUUUACGUCACCAGAGGCGCCUGUGAUCAGAAUCUGUGCUCACUGAAAGUGACACAAUUAUUUGGUUUAGGAAAAGCACUUCAAGCUGUAAACCUUAGGUCCACACCUAUAAAUAACGCCAAGAAUCAUCAGACUUGAAGAACACCAGUAACAUAAGAGGAGACUCCAAAUUAAAACAAAUUGACCUGUUAAAGUAGUUACUAGGAAAAACAGAAGAAACUUUAAAAUAUGAUUAUGAUCUUCAGAGAGUCCCAAGGAUGUGGUAUCCAUACAGAGUAAGAUGCUAGGAAAAAGAAGGCUUUCAUUUCCGGAAAUUAAAAAUACGAUUAUGAAAAUGCACUCAGAAGAUGGACUAGAUCACAGAAUGGGUUCAGCUGAAGCUUAAAUUCUUGAACUAGAAGCUUUGAGAGAUCCCACUCAUGCCCUGCAAAGGGAUAAAAGAUAAAAAUUAUGAAAGAAAAGUGAGAGCCCGCCACAAACAGGCAUAGAGUAAUUGCACAAGCACACAGAUACUUGUGGGAUGAAUGAGACACAGAUUUUGGUAUUAGGGUUCUCAGCAACAAAAAGACAUUUUUCUCUAAGAAUUACCAAGCAAACGGAACAGUGAGUCCAUGAAAGGUUUUAAAUUAAAGAAACUGAUGCUGGAACUGGA